rnacentral:lncRNA from 1 species
UGAACCAAUAAGAGAGAGGUUUAUAUCGGUGCGUCACGUGUGUCAAACGUUCGGACAUGUUGAAAAGCUUGCUUUCGAUUUCAUUUUGAAGUAUGAAAGAUGAGUUUUCAUGAUCAUGAAUGCUGUUGAAGUCACNUGGAUUUUAUUUACAGAGAAGAAAGAAGGGAUUCCAACCCAUCGAUUCCCCUUCUUCUGUGNGCCAAUUUCAAAUGGUAUAAGGUGAGACCACUACCAGCAGCCUUUGCAGCCAUCCCUUUGCUGACAAAUUUGCCUUCUAUCAUUGGAUACCAGGACCUCAAAUUCUUGUCUCUCUGCUCAAAGAAAAUCAUGGAAUCCUUAAUAUACUUGGAAUUGAAGGAAAAUUUCUGCAAAGUAUUAGAUUGCAAGGAAGCAAUGUCCAUCAGCUCUUUCAGUGCUUCUACAUCACAAAGAGCAUUGUGUGAGUGAUAUGUCUUUCCAGUUACAUGAUUGUACAGACUCUCUUGUUUAUAUGACUGCAAACCGACAUGUGUAUCCUUGAACAGUGGAAGCGUAUCCAGGAAACCUGCAACUGCUUGUUCCAAAUUUCCAAACAUAUUACAAGAUUUUGCAGCAUUGACAAGAACAUGGCAGUCGAAGACUUUUAUAUUGUGGCCUAUGAGCAGGACAGGGUCUUCCCCAAGGAAAUUGGUGAACAUCUUUAAUGCUUCUUUUAUUGGUACAGCAUUCACCAGCUGAUUAUUGUGGAAUAGUUGACCAUUUAUGCAUUUCAAGCCUGUCACCUCAGAUGCUUUUUUUUGAAUGGGUAUUUUUGGGAGAACAUAACAAUUGAAUGAUUUGCUUGAGUGACGUGCAACUGCUGCUAUCUGUGUGAUAUGNCUCUUUCUUCCUAAAGAGAAAAUAAUACUGUUACUAUUGGGCCUCNGGUAAUCUAAAUUACUUUUUUUUUAAAUAGACUUACCUAGUCCUGUUGUCUCAAUAUCAAAAACGAAGCUUGAGCAAGGAAUGUCUUUUAUAGAUUCAGCUUUAGGUUUCAUUACUGGUUNGGGUAUUUGGUAAACAUCUUGAUCUUCUGUCAUUUAAAUAGGAAACAUCAAUUCAUUAUAGUAUAGGACAUAGGCAGUACACCACAUUAGAAGAGGAAACUUAUCUAUAGCAGUAAGCUCAGAUGUCUGUGAUUUCAUUUCCGUAUAAAUCUGUAUGAAUGCUAUUUCUGGGCUUCACUCUGUACAGAGGUGCUUUGCACCAUCACUUGAUGGCAGCCAUGACANGGAGCAGGAACAGUUGAACCUGGUUUACAUUCAAUUUCCCAGANAGAAAAUAACCUAUUGUUAUGCCCCUGUCAUGUUGCUGAUACAGUUGAUGGUGCAAAAGAUCAUAUUAAAAACAUGAAUAACUAACAGCAUACCAAAAAUUAUGCUUGUUACCAACAUUUUACCUGUUACUAAGUCUAUACUUGUUGAAUAAGUAUCACCUUCCCGUAUUUCAUUUGAUUGAUUGCAUGAUAGUUUCUUGGCCUUUAGUUCAAGCUUUACUGCUCUAGAUGAUUUUCUUGAUUUGUUUCUUUUCAUAAAGGUAUUGAGAUAUUUUGCACGUUUUCUAGUAUUACAUCCUGGAGAAAGUCCAGUUUUCUUGUUGACCUGUAUGUAAAAUACAUUUUGGGAUUACAACUCUAUCUCACCAUUUAUAGGGUCAGUAAAUUAAAAGGCAAUAAUGUUUGUACUGUCUUCNCAAUGCUUACCUCUACUAGGUAAUCAUAUCCAGUGUUCUUUUGACAGAUGGAUGCACUAACCCUGUAGUCUAAGCUUUCUGAUCCAGAAUAAUGUUGUCUCUUUGGGGCCUUAGUACUAACAAUACCAUUCAAAUUUUCAUUGGCUUGAGUUGAUUUCAUGUUUGCUAGUUUCUUUGCUUGGGAUUUGUACUUGAUGAAAAUGGNUUCCAAACUUUCUUGCAAACCACUAUCUUCUAGGGGUCUUCCAUAAGGCAGAGAAGGAUAUUUCUUUUUUUUACCAUUUUUAUGAUGGCACCAUGAACCACAUGCAGAAUGAUCAUCAAAUGGAUGCUUGUGCAAGGCAUCAAGAUCUCUGGUUAUUGCUUCUGGGUUUCCAGCNUUCUGUUUUACCAUAUAUGUGAAGAGCCUUUGAAGAUACUUUAUAGUUUUGACUGAUAGCUUGUGUUUCUCUUUCAAAGAAAACAACUGAGAACCUAAUAUUUUCUUGAUGUGGUUUCCAUCAGAUUGCUUUUCAAUGUCUUNGCUGACUUCCUUUCUAAGUCUNGCAGUGAUGGUUGUAUCUUCAUCGCCUACAAUAGCACCAAUGGUAAUCUGUGUGAUAAGAAUCCAAUUAUAAUGAUUAAUGUUAAUGAUGAUGAUUCAAAUAAACNCAGAUCGCAAUUGAA